GAAAUUUCGAAAGUAAGCGGCGGCGUCUGGUUUUUCACGGACCUCGUUUCACCAACUGGGGGUGGGUUGGCGAGAGGCGGUAGAACGAGGAGCACAGAGACGUCUCGUUUCCGACGGCGUUACCGCGUUGAGUCGCGCGGAAUAGAGAUUGUUCGAGCGAUGGAACGACUCCGGUCGAGACACAAGGUAGCUGUUUGGCGAAGUUGAGGGAAGAGAAAUGGGGCUGAUUAAUUGUUUGAUGUACGCUAUCAGUGCAAAAUAGAGUUGCUUAUAAAUGUAUUCGAAUACCAGUAGAAAUUUUUUAUGAAAAUAAUCAAUUAACGAAACAUUUUGAAAUUUCACGAGCACCGUAGUGAUUAUGUAGCAACCCAUCAUGAUUCGUACAAAAGCAAAGAAGACAUC